rnacentral:rRNA from 1 species
GUGAGGAAUAUUGCGCAAUGGAGGCAACUCUGACGCAGCCAUGCCGCGUGCAGGAAGAAGGCGCUACGCGUUGUAAACUGCUUUUAACCGGGAAGAAACCCCAGGACGUGUCCUGGGUUGACGGUACCGGAGGAAUAAGCACCGGCUAACUUCGUGCCAGCAGCCGCGGUAAUACGAAGGGUGCAAGCGUUAUCCGGAUUCAUUGGGUUUAAAGGGUGCGUAGGCGGAGCGUUAAGUCAGUGGUGAAAUCCUGCAGCUUAACUGUCGACUUGCCAUUGAUACUGGCGCUCUUGAGUGCACUUGAAGUGGGCGGAAUGUGCCGUGUAGCGGUGAAAUGCUUAGAUAUGGCGCAGAACACCAAUUGCGAAGGCAGCUCACUAAGGGGAUACUGACGCUGAGGCACGAAAGCGUGGGGAUCGAACAGGAUUAGAUACCCGGGUAGUCC